rnacentral:lncRNA from 1 species
CAUCUUAACGCAGCCAAGUUGGUUCAGUAGUACUACUAAUAAUCAAUCUUCUGACUGAUACUCCGUACUAGCUAGCUACGGUUGAAGUAGCCCCACUCACACUGACUGACAUUUUUCGGAUUAAUUAACUUUUUUUACAAUUAAUCCCGACAAUUUGUUAGCUGCUAUAAAACAAUGUCCUGAAUGUACUCUGGUUUUCACUAAAUCAGCUUACACCUAAGGUGGAGAAAACCUCUCUUUUUUUUACAUCAACCGUCAAUAAACUUGUUCCCCUGCUUAGAUUGAAAUAUGGAAGGGACUUUGUGUUCCACUGAAAGUAUAUUGGUUGUAUUGAUUGAUGUGUUGUUUCACAAAUUUCUAGAGGUGGCUAUUUAUAACCUGUUACAACUGAUUUCCUACCCGACUAGGAUCUAUCUCUAAUUUUAAAUAAUAAUAAAUAUUUACAAAUACAACUCGUAUCGGAGUUGGUUAUCAUAUCCCACGGGCCAACCUUCUUCUUUAGCUAAUCUUUUCUCCAGCCCACUUUAGGCCCAUACUGGCCAAGCUGCUCCAAUUCCCAAUCAGCCAAUCCUUGCUGACUCCUUUUGCCAAUCGGCCGAAACACUGUAGAUUCAAUCGGCCGAUUCCCAACUGUAGCUUUUAGCUUGCUGCAUCGGCCAAUCUUUUCCUUCCU